rnacentral:rRNA from 1 species
UACAGAGGUCCCGAGCGUUGUUCGGAUUCACUGGGCGUAAAGGGUGCGUAGGUGGCUUGAAAAGUUUGAUGUGAAAGCUCAGGGCUUAACCCUGAAAUGGCAUUGAAUACUAUUGAGCUGGAGGUUUGGAGGGGGGACUGGAAUUCUUGGUGUAGCAGUGAAAUGCGUAGAUAUCAAGAGGAACACCAGUGGCGAAGGCGAGUCCCUGGACAACACCUGACACUGAGGCACGAAAGCCGGGGGAGCAAACAGGAUUAGAAACCCGUGUAGUCC